rnacentral:rRNA from 1 species
UGGGGAAUUAGUGAGCAAAUGGGCGCAAGCCUGAUCCAGCCAUGCCGCGUGUGUGAAGAAGGCCUUCGGGUUGUAAAGCACUUUUUGUCCGGAAAGAAAUCCUUGGCUCUAAUACAGUCGGGGGAUGACGGUACCGGAAGAAUAAGCACCGGCUAACUACGUGCCAGCAGCCGCGGUAAUACGUAGGGUGCAAGCGUUAAUCGGAAUUACUGGGCGUAAAGCGUGCGCAGGCGGUUUGCUAAGACCGAUGUGAAAUCCCCGGGCUCAACCUGGGAACUGCAUUGGUGACUGGCAGGCUAGAGUAUGGCAGAGGGGGGUAGAAUUCCACGUGUAGCAGUGAAAUGCGUAGAGAUGUGGAGGAAUACCGAUGGCGAAGGCAGCCCCCUGGGCCAAUACUGACGCUCAUGCACGAAAGCGUGGGGAGCAAACAGGAUUAGAUACCCUGGUAGUCCACGCCCUAAACGAUGUCAACUAGUUGUUGGGGAUUCAUUUCCUUAGUAACGUAGCUAACGCGUGAAGUUGACCGCCUGGGGAGUACGGUCGCAAGAUUAAAACUUCAAAUGAAUUGACGGGGUCAUAGCUGUUUCCU